AAUCUGUGCCAGCUUUUUGAGGCCGACCACGUGUUUGUGUAACGUGUGUCGGUGUAAAUCCUCCUGCAGUAUAAACAUAAAAAUAUGCCUUUACUACUAGUUUAAUAUUUACUCCUGAAUAUGUAUAACACCUGGGGAUUAAAUCUGGUGCUCCUAUCACGUGAGCUGGAAUGGAAAUGAAGUGCAACAUAAAUGCAACAUGGCUGAUGUUAAGAGCACGUGGCUUGGACUUCCAGCCACCUGACUGAGGUGUUCUAUGCUGAAUCUGAUGUUUCUUCACUUCGGUAGAAAAGCAGCUGGUUAGAAACUAGCACCAAACCUGAACAGUCACUACAGGUUCAGAUGUUCACAGGAGCCGAAAGGGAGCCGAACGAACAACGACGAAAUGCCACCUUAAAUAUGGAGGUGCUGCAGCUGUGUCCUGACAUCCAGAUCAUCAGCGGGUCUACGUUCAGCACAGACGUGUUUUUAUCUGCUAGUACAUUUAAUGAUUGAUGUUGACUGCAUUGUCUUUACCGAUGUGUAAAAGUAGUCGUUAGAUCUUUUCUGUAAAGCAAAUAAAUGUGUGAAAGCCUGUA